AUAAGAUAUCAAGGGCAACAGGUGAAUGCCUUGGCGCUGAGAGGCGAUGAAAGACGCGGUAAGCUGCGAUAAGCAUCGGGGAGGAGCUAAACAUCCUACGAUCCGAUGAUUUCUGAAUGGGGAAACCCGAUGGGAGUCAUGUCCCAUCAUCCUGAGCUGAAUAUAUAGGCCCAGAGAAGCCAACCCGGGGAAGUGAAACAUCUCAGUACCCGGAGGAAGAGAAAUCAAACGAGACUCCCAAAGUAGCGGCGAGCGAAAUGGGAAGAGCCCAAACCGGGUGGUUUCGACCAUUCGGGGUUGUAGGGCCGGCAUACGCGAUUCUGGAGUAGGCAGAGGAAGUGAGCUGGAAAGCUCCGCCACAGCGGGUGAUAGCCCCGUACUCGAAACCGAAAAGGACGCAGCCGGUACCUGAGUACUGCGAGGCACGUGGAACCUCGUGGGAAUCUAGGGGGACCAUCCUCUAAGGCUAAGUACUCCUCAGCGACCGAUAGUGAACUAGUACCGUGAGGGAAAGGUGAAAAGAACCCCUGUUAGGGGAGUGAAAUAGAAUCUGAAACCUGUUGCCUACAAGCUGCGAGAGCUACUUCGGUAGUGAUCGCGUGCCUUUUGUAUAAUGAGUCAGCGAGUUACUCUACCGUGCGAGGUUAAGCGAAAGCGUAGCCGUAGUGAAAGCGAGGCUUAAUAGGCCGACUAGUACGUUGGAGUAGACCCGAAACCGGGUGAUCUAUCCAUGAGCAGGUUGAAGCAAGGGUAAAGCCUUGUGGAGGACCGAACCGUCAACGGCUGAAAACGUUCCGGAUGACUUGUGGAUAGGGGUGAAAGGUCAAUCAAACCCGGAGAUAGCUGGUUCUCCCCGAAAUAUAUUGAGGUAUAGCCUCGGGAAUUGAUUAGCGGAGGUAAAGCACUGACAGAGCUAGGGGUCCUACCAGAUUACCAAACUCUAUCAAACUCAGAAUGCCGCUUAAUUGUAUCCCGGGAGUCAGACGGCGGGUGCGAAGGUUCGUCGUCAAAAGGGAAACAGCCCAGACCAACAGCUAAGGUCUCCAAAUCCAUGCUCAGUGGUGAAGGUAGUGGAACCGUUUAGACAGCCAGGACGUUGGCUUAGAAGCAGCCAUCAUUUAAAGAAAGCGUAAUAGCUCACUGGUCUAAUGGCUCUGCGCCGAAAAUGUAACGGGGCUAAGCAUGGUACCGAAGCUUUGGCAAUCUCCUUGGGAGAUUGGGUAGGGGAGCGUUCGCUGCGGGCUGGAGGUGUAUCGGAAGGUAUGCUGGACUGCAGUGAAGUGAUUAUGCUGACAUGAGUAACGAUAAAAUAUGUGAAAAACAUAUUCGCCGAAAACCCGAGGUUUCCUGGGUAAAGGUAAUCUUCCCAGGGUUAGUCGGAUCCUAAGGUGAGGGUGAAAGCCGUAACCGAUGGAAAACAGGUUAAUAUUCCUGUACUUGUUGUGUAGCGCGAUGGAGGGACGCAGGAAGAUAGGCGGGCCGGGUGUUGGAUAUCCCGGUGCAAGCGUGUAGGAAUAUCCGGUAGGCAAAUCCGCCGGACGAAUCUGAGACGCGAGUCCGUGGGCGCAAGCCCUGAAGCCGUUGAGUCUAUGCUGCCUAGAAAAGCUCCUAAGUUUAUCCACAGCAAUCCGUACCGCAAACCAACUCAGGUGGGUGGGAUGAACAAUCCAAGGCGCUCGAGAGAACUCUGGCCAAGGAACUCGGCAAAAUAACCCCGUAACUUCGGAAGAAGGGGUGCUCUCUAGGGUGACAUGUUUAACAUAUGAAGCCCCGGGGAGCCGCAGUGAAUUGGUGGUGGCGACUGUUUACUAAAAACAUAGGUCUGUGCGAAGUCCUAAAGACGACGUAUACGGACUGACGCCUGCCCGGUGCUGGAAGGUUAAAAGGAGGGGUCAGCGCAAGCAAAGCUCCGAAUUGAAGCCCCAGUAAACGGCGGCCGUAACUAUAACGGUCCUAAGGUAGCGAAAUUCCUUGUCGGGUAAGUUCCG
rnacentral:rRNA from 1 species